rnacentral:rRNA from 1 species
UACGGAGGGUGCGAGCGUUGUCCGGAAUCACUGGGCGUAAAGGGCGCGUAGGCGGCAGGCCAAGCGUGCGGUGAAAGUCCGGGGCUCAACCCCGGAUCUGCCGUGCGGACUGGUUUGCUAGAGCACUGUAGAGGCGAGUGGAAUUCCGGGUGUAGCGGUGGAAUGCGUAGAGAUCCGGAAGAACACCGGUGGCAAAGGCGGCUCGCUGGGCAGUGGCUGACGCUGAGGCGCGACAGCGUGGGGAGCAAACAGG